CCGAAGACCCGGGUUCAAUUCCCGACAUGGGUACAAUGUGUGAAGCCCAUUUCUGGCGUCCCCCGCCGUGAUAUUGCUAAAAGCGGCGUAAAACCAUACUCACUCACUCACUCUUCCAUCACCUGUUAAUACAUACAGCCGCUUUGCAGUGUGGUCCCUAUUUUUCCCAAUAAGUCGAAACCAUGUUCCUGGGGGAUCGAGGAAGUGUACAAACGCAUGUCCCCAGGGGAUCGAGGAAGUGUACAAACGUGUGGUCUCGGGGGAUUGAGGAAGUGUACAAACGCAUGUCCCCAGGGGAUCGAGGAAGUGUACAAACGUGUGGUCUCGGGGGGAUUGAGGAAGUGUACAAACGCAUGGUCCCGGGGGAUUGAGGAAGUGUACAAACGCAUGUCCCCAGGGGAUCGAGGAAGUGUACAAACGCGUGUUCCCGGGGGAUCGAGGAAGUGUACAAACGCGUGUUCCUGGGGGAUCGAGGAAGUGUACAAACGCGUGUUCCCGGGGGAUCUAGGAAGUGUACAAACGCUUGUUCCCAGGGGAUAGAAUAGGUGUACAAACGUAAGUGUUCCCAGGCAAUGGAGUAAGUGUACAAAAGUGAGUGUUUCCAGGCGACAGAGUAAGUGUAUAAUCGCGUGUGUAUCCAGGCGACAGAGUAAAUGUACAAACGUGUGAGUUCCCUGGCGAUAGAGUAAGUGUAAACGUGUGUGCAUCCAGGCGACAGAGUAAGUGUACAAUUGUGUGAAGUGUUGAUGAUGCUGGUCUUCCCACUGUUCAUCCCACUCCACUGUAGAGCAGCAUGCUGCUAUUGUUACAGCUUUCAUUGUUAUCUUGUUUGUGGCUGUCAUUGGCUGGAAUGGAAUGUAUUGAUAUGAUGACAUCUUGUUUUACUCAUAUAUACUACUCAAAAGAAGUGAAGAACACCCAAAAUUUUAACAUCUUUUGAGUAGUAUGUUUAGGGAUGAAAUACAUUAUUUAUCUCAUUUGAAAUAUCACGUUUGCAGGAGUUGCUUCCAGUCAGUGUCAAUGGCACUAUGGUUUUCUAAGUUUGGUAAGAAAAUACAUGUGUUUUAUGCUGAUAAAUACGCAUUAGCAGCACUGAUGAUUUUUGAGCUGUGCCACACAUAAAAAGAUCCAAAUAUCUUCCAUGUUUAAUACAUCCACUAAUGAACCUGAUCAGGAAGUAAAAGAAAAAAUAGGCUCGCUAUUAAGCCGUUAAAGAUUUCAAUCAUUGUUAGACAUUUUCAAUUGUUAUAUUGCUAAUUAUUAAUCUUAAGAAUGUGUACAAGUAAUUUUUGUUGAACAAAUUGUUGGCAAAGGUUUGCCAAUAUUCUAAUGGUUAUGUCAUUGUUUUUCUCAUCCCCUUGCUUGUAUCAGUGGACCCAAUCGGUCAAUGACAGCCCGAUCUUAUGUUAAACACACCCACCAAUUUUGUUACUGUUGUUUUCCAUCUUUGUAGAUCUCAAGCAACUUGUUAGUGAAUAUUGCAUUGAACGUAUGUUGAAGAACCUCAAUGUCAAAACCUGAGCAAUAUCAUUACAAUCAGAUCUUAGUGCUCGCUACUGCUACAAAAAGGUCUGAGGAUAUCCUUUCAUCCAUUCAAUCAGAGCAUUGCUUAUGCUAUAGGGAAAGUCCAAAUGUGCGUGACCUCUAAGAGAUUCAGUAGGUCAAGGGGCGGUCAGGUAGCCUAGUGGUUAAAGCGUUCGCUCGUCACGCCGAAGACCAGGGUUUGAUUCCAGACAUGGGUACAAUAUAUGACGCCCAUUUCUGGUGUCCCCCGCCGUGAUAUUCCUGGAAUAUUGCUAAAAGCGGUGAAAAACAACAAACCAAUAUCAGUAGGUCAAAAAUGUCAUCUAUAUCUUGCUUCAAUGGGAUAAACAUUUGAAAUGGUUGUGUAAAAUUCUAUUUCACAUUCCAGAAUUAUCAUUUGUUAAGUUUGAAAAUUUUGAAUUGAGAACUUGAGGACAAAAUAUGUUUUAAAGUGUAUAGUCUGGAAUGGAAGUCACCAUUUGAAACUCAAAACGUAAAGCUUGAGAAAGCUGCUUUCUGAUUGGCUAACAUCGACUUCCUGUUAGUCAUUUGAUUGAUUGUUUAAAGUUCAUGAGAUGUCAUUCUCAAGUGGCCUGUAAUGUGAUGUCUUCAGAUCAUGGGGGGGGGUGCAUGGGUGGCCUAGUCGUGUAAGGCUCCACGAUUCGCUGUGCAGAUUUCCCCAUGGGCAGGCCAGGAACCUACGAUUGUGGGUUCGAAUCCCAGUUUGCCCUGAUUAUGUUUCUAGGUUUGUCAGCACCAUACCCGUACUCGUAGGUUUCACCGAAGUGGUAAACAUCUGAGACCUGCAUCACUUUGGGCUUUCCUCCAACAGUAAGCUGACACCAUGUGAUAUAACUGAAAUUCUGAUAAAAGCGCCGUUAAACCCAACUCACUCACACUUCAGAUCAUGUGUAGCGGUAGAGAGCAAUAAGAUCUGAUUUUAAUGAGACUAAAAGCUGGGAUGUGUUCAAAUAGAUUCCAUGACAUUUGUACCAUUGGUAUCAGUAGGUGUGAAAGGAUACACAUGAGAUACACACGACUUACACACGACUUACACACACAGAUACUCACCACAUACACACGAGAUACACACAAGAUACACACGACAUACACAUGAGAUACUCACGAGAUACACAAGAGAUACACCGCCUCUGUGGUCUUGUGGUAGAGCGUCUGACCGGAGAUCGAUCAAUCCCCGGACGCGUCAUACCAAAAGACGUUAAAAGAUGGUACAUGUUGUUACCCUGUCUGGCGCUUGGCAUUAAGGGCUAAAACAAGGACUGGUCGGCUCAGAGUCAGUAUACUGUGUCUGAGUGGGGUAUUCAUGUUAAACUGCGGCAUGGUAUCUCAGUGGGCUAGCACUAUAAUUCGGCAUCAGUCCGGACUAGUACAAGCAGCCACACAAACACACACACGUACAUGCACGUCGCUGUAUAAGUGCAAUAAUCUUGGACGCGAUGUUAAACCCCAUUUCACCUCACCACAAGAGAUACACAUAUCAGGAUAACCAAUUCAAGGGAAACUGUGGAUAUCUUUUGAUUUUGUGAUAUAUUUUUUUCAGUAGAAAUCAGUUUGGAAAUAAACAUGUGUUUUCAGAUAUUUGGUUGUAAUUGUGUACUUAAUGUCAGGAGAUUUCAUUUGGAACCAAUGGUGCUAACUGGAGGAUUCAAAUAUCACAAUUUUCAGGCAUUUAAUACUCAAUAACAGCCAAUAGUCUAAAAAUAUGUUUAUCAUUAUUUUAAAAUGCAAAAGUUAUCAGUAAUUUUCUGUAACCACUUCCAAUUCUAACAGGUGAGACAGACAUGGCUAAAACAUGACGCUAUAAAAUCAUUGAAUUCUUCAAACUGAACCUGAACAUAUUUCAACUGAAUUGUAAGUGAAUGAAAAAAGUUAAAAACAGGUUUUAGACCUGAAAAGUGAUUGAAUUUUGACCUCCCAGAUCAAAAACUAAAAAAUACCGUUUUUGGAAUAUGAAAGAUUUAUGAAACUUAUUUCUGUUUUAAAAUAUGUUGUACUAUGAAGUUUGAUAUUUAGGUGAACUGGGGAGUCAUUUCAGCCCUGAAAACAAAGUCAUACUUUUACACAUCUCAUACCGCUAUUAGCUAUUCAGAACUUGAUGUUUAAGCGACUCACCAUUAUAUAUUCCUAAGGGACCUAGGAGUGUUGUUAGACGGAAUAUUAUUUUGGUCACUGCCGCAAGACACAGGAUGUUUUCCUUGGAAAAGAGAAGCCGAAUUCUUUUUUUCGCAGGACCUACAGCAAAAGUGUGUGGAUGCAUGUCACUGUGUGUGUGUGUAUGUGUGUAUUUGCAUCUACAUGGAAGACAAAAUAUGUUAAAAUAACACAUUACCUGUUAUUGGUUGAUAUAGAAAUAUGUGGGCAGAGAUGGUUUGUGAUUUUCGGGUGAAACUGCUUUACCAUGUCUAUAUCAACUUACCAAUAUUGGCAGCUAAAAAUACAAUUAAAGGUUUAUAAAAAUAGGUUUUCGUAGUUUCUCAAAUAUCCUAUUUUCAGUUCAGAGGGACACCAUGAUAAGUCCUGUACACUUAGAUUGACCAUAUCCCUGCCUUCAUUCCAAGAAAGCGUCCUUGAUCAGGUGUUCACAAAGGAGUGGUCCGAAAAUACCUUCUCUUAACCACAAUCUGUUCCCUGAAGUGUUCAUUCCUUUCUGUGUUCUCUUAUGCAUUCAAUAAUAUACUACUCAAAAGAAUUGACAGAAAACCUGAUUCUUCAUAAAUCAUGGCAUGACAUUAACUGUAGUAAAUUGAAAGAACUCCAUGCACUAUCCCAUUUUCUUCUUUACCCCUCUUCUGAAGACAUAAAAUUUAGGGAUUAUGUAAUCUGAUUGGGUACUUGUUCAUAAAAUCAAAACAUUCAAAUACAAGAUAUUCAAUAUUAGGGAUGUCACGAUUCACUGAUUGUACCGAUUCUCACGAUACGAUACGAGAUAAUGUAAAUAUAUAUCGGUACGAAAUUUUAUUGAAAUCGGUAUCCAUUUGUUCACGUAUCGUUUGAUUUUUCUUUUUGUAUCGAAAUGUCAUAUUUUCGGAAUUUGACACAUACGAAAACUUGUUAGUGUCUGACACUUGUUUGAAUAAACAGAAUCAACCUUUUCUAAGUAUUAUUAUUUUACAAAAUAAUCUACUGAGAGUGAUUAGAACACAUAAUUGUGAAUGUGAUAUGUAAUUAAAACAUUUGCUUCUAAAUUUAUGCAUUAAAGGCCCGGUUUGCUGUAUCAAGAUACGUAUCGUAUCUUGACCUCAAAAUCGAGAUACGUAUCGUAUCGUGAGGUACCUGUAUCGUGACACCCCUAUUCAAUAUUGAGCUGUUACUUCUGUUUUCCAUGAAGAAUUAUCUCCCUUCCUUCAUACUUAUCAAAAAGAGACAAAAUAAAUAUUGACAUCAGACAAAGCACAACUUAGGAAUCUUCUACAUGCAUAAUUUGAUGUGUGUAAUCUGAAAGAACACGAGGUUGAGGUUCAGAAAAUAUUGAUCAUGGAACGUAUGUUGUAUAAUGCUUUAAGGAUUUUACAUUAUUUUCUGACGUAUCCAUCCACCAGAUUUGAUUAGAUGUGUGUACAUAUCAGUAACCUGCUUAUCAUUAUCACAGAAGGCACAAUGUUACCUGCACGUGUAAUUUAUCUUUGCCUUGUACUAGUCUGUCAUUCUGAUUGUUAUUUUCUUUGAGAGGUAUUUAGAAGUUGGAGAGUAAGUAAGGAUAAGAUAUAUGGAUGAACAACUUCUUUAUUAGAAUUAGGAGCGACGUUUCGGUGUAGGUUCUAACACCGUUAUCAAGCAAGUGAUGUACAGAGUAUGGUUGACAAGUAUAUAUACAGGAAAGGAGGCAGUGUUUAUACAGUGGAGUAGGUUUAAGAUGCAGUUACUCUGGAGUGGAGAAGGUCCUAAUUGUAAUAAAGAAGUUGUUCAUCCAUAUAUCUUUUCCUUACUUAUUCUGAUUGUUAUUUAUAGACUUGAUAGAUCUUAUAUCAAGCAAUCAUCUCCAGAUCGGUUAUGACAUCCAUCAUGGAAAUAGAGAAGCAUGUUUUAUAACUUAUGCUAUUUAUUAAUUCUGUUUAAUAGUUAAAUAUUUAUUUGAGUUACUUAGAAAAAAGUACUCUUUUCUAUACAAUUUUAGUUUGUUAUUUUGGGUGACAUUUUAAUAAAAAAUAAUUCCAAGGAUAACUAUUGAAUACAGAGUAUUUUGUUAGAGUGUACAUAAAUAUUGCCCCCACACAUGCAGCCAGCCAGUCAUGGUCCAGUCACAAAGGAGACAGCGGACGAACAAUAGGUUUUAUUGGUUUAUUUUUACUGUGACAGUAUUGAAGUGUAUUAUCAUACAGAGAUCCUGAGGUUGUGUGUGCACACACACACCCUCUUUUAGCAUACUAAUCAUGUUGACGUAUAAAAAAUAUACAAUUAAAUCAUUUGGUAACAUAUUUAACAAAAAUGUUAAUAAUUAUCAUUAUAUAAUAUAUAUAUAUUGGUUCUAAAUGUUGUAACGAUUCCGCCCAAAUCAUGAUUGGCAUAUCUGGUAUUAGAUGCUAUUACUAGAGGAAGAAACCUUACUACACUUAGUCUUUGGACCAUUGAUUACAGCUGUAGACUGGACCUAGGAUUUGGUCGGACCAUGUUGUGGGGGAUUUUGUCAUCUGCUGUACAUAAUGGCUGCAAUAUCACAUGUGUACAUGUUGAAGUGUCAGACAGAUCACGAAUCAUAUGAACAUGUAUAUUUUGUAUGGAUGUUUGUGUAUUACGAAUGUUUGAUCAAAGUCAUGUCUAUAUUUCUCUGUAAAAUAAACCUUUUGAAAACAAA